GAAGUGCGAUAAGCAAUGCGAAUUGCAGAACCGUGAGUCAUCAAAAUUUUGAACGCACCUUGCACUUCCCUCUGGGGAGUAUGUCUGUUGGAGUGUCUGUUCAUCCCCACGAAGCAUUUCAUUUCGGUGAUGAUGUAUUCGAGUCGGUCUUAUUAUUUACAUUAUAUGCACCUAGAUGAAACAACACUCAGUCGUCUACACUUCAUAACUGAAGUUGUAAUUUCGACGCGACGUCCAAGUUCUUCGGAACUAAACUCGUGUAAUGAAAUUAUGACUUUAUUCCAAAAGUUUUGAUAUGUCUUUGACAAUCCGAUCGGACCUCCAAUCAGGCAAGAAUACCCGCUGAAUUUAA
rnacentral:misc_RNA from 1 species